rnacentral:rRNA from 1 species
AUAAUGACUCUCGGCAACGGAUAUCUCGGCUCUUACAUCGAUGAAGAACGUAGCAAAAUGCGAUACUUGGUGUGAAUUGCAGAAUCCCGUGAACCAUCGAGUCUUUGAACGCAAGUUGCGCCCGAAUCCAUYUGGUUGAGGGCACGUCUGCCUGGGUGUCACGU